rnacentral:rRNA from 1 species
UUACACAUGCAAGUCGAAACGGCAGGCACGGGGCGAACCUGGUGGCGAGUGGCGAACGGGUGAGUAAUGCAUCGGAACGUGCCAUUGAGUGGGGGGUAACGUAGCGAAAGUUACGCUAAUACCGCAUAUUCUGUGAGCAGGAAAGCAGGGGAUCGCAAGACCUUGCGCUCUUUGAGCGGCCGAUGUCAGAUUAGCUAGUUGGUGAGGUAACGGCUUACCAAGGCGACGAUCUGUAGCGGGUCUGAGAGGAUGAUCCGCCACACUGGAACUGAGACACGGUCCAGACUCCUACGGGAGGCAGCAGUGGGGAAUUUUGGACAAUGGGGGCAACCCUGAUCCAGCCAUGCCGCGUGAGUGAAGAAGGCCUUCGGGUUGUAAAGCUCUUUCGGCCGGGAAGAAAUCGCAUGGGUUAAUACCCUGUGUGGAUGACGGUACCGGCAUAAGAAGCACCGGCUAACUACGUG